UGCCAGCAGCCGCGGUAAUACGUAGGGUGCGAGCGUUGUCCGGAAUUACUGGGCGUAAAGAGCUCGUAGGUGGUCUGUCGCGUCAUUUGUGAAAGCCCGGGGCUUAACUCCGGGUUGGCAGGUGAUACGGGCAUGACUGGAGUACUGUAGGGGAGACUGGAAUUCCYGGUGUAGCGGUGAAAUGCGCAGAUAUCAGGAGGAACACCGGUGGCGAAGGCGGGUCUCUGGGCAGUAACUGACGCUGAGGAGCGAAAGCAUGGGUAGCGAACAGGAUUAGAUACCCUGGUAGUCCAUGCCSUAAACGGUGGGCGCUAGGUGUGGGUUUCCUUCCACGGGAUCCGUGCCGUAGCUAACGCAUUAAGCGCCCCGCCUGGGGAGUACGGCCGCAAGGCUAAAACUCAAAGGAAUUGACGGGGGCCCGCACAAG
rnacentral:rRNA from 1 species